rnacentral:rRNA from 1 species
GUCCAGACUCCUACGGGAGGCAGCAGUGGGGAAUAUUGCACAAUGGGGGAAACCCUGAUGCAGCGACGCCGCGUGAGUGAAGAAGUAUUUCGGUAUGUAAAGCUCUAUCAGCAGGAAAGAAAAUGACGGUACCUGACUAAGAAGCCCCGGCUAACUACGUGCCAGCAGCCGCGGUAAUACGUAGGGGGCAAGCGUUAUCCGGAUUUACUGGGUGUAAAGGGAGCGUAGACGGUGAAGCAAGUCUGAAGUGAAAGGCGGGGGCUCAACCCCCGGACUGCUUUGGAAACUGCGAGGCUGGAGUGUCGGAGAGGCAGGCGGAAUUCCUAGUGUAGCGGUGAAAUGCGUAGAUAUUAGGAGGAACACCAGUGGCGAAGGCGGCCUGCUGGACGAUGACUGACGCUGAGGCUCGAAAGCGUGGGGAGCAAACAGGAUUAGAUACCCCAGUAUUG